UUGUGUCACUUUUUUUUUUUAUGAUGCUAAAUUCUUUAGAAUUUUACAUCAGUUUCUUUUACAUGAUGUUAAAUUCUUUAUGUUCUUUUUUCUCUUUUUAUUUUUGUAACCACCCUUCCUGAUUAUAUAUUUUUUGGAAACAGAAUAUCUUUUUUUUUUUUUUUUUUUUUGAACACCGGAAACAGAAUAUCUAUUUUUCAUAUUUCCCACUAAGUAAAUCAAAUACAAAUCUGUAGAAAAUCCUAACACUUCUUCUCAUAUCUUAACUUUGGAACGAUUAGAUGAGGAACAUACACAAAGAGAUUGAAGACGAAAAUCAAAAGACGCUCAGAUGCACAUGAUAGCUUUUUCUUUGUAAAGGUAAAUGAUCUCUAUUAAUUUUUUUUUUGGAAGAGGGUUGGUUCUUCUGUCUCUUAUAUAAUUUAUUGACUCUAAAAUAUCUGGUUUUGUUUUAGGAUCAGUUUCCAGAUCCGUUCUGCAAGACCGUCACACAUAAAUUUAAUAUGAACCACAUACACACGCUACAUUGAAUCUCAUGGAUGGAGAUUGAAGUAAGGUGAAGAUUGCUUGGAUUACUUGUUCAGGAAAGGAUUCUUCAAGUUACAAGAAGAGUUUUUCAAUCUUCUGGGUUCCAUAGUUAAUUUGUUUAGAUAUGAAAUCACUUUGUAUAUAGGUUUGAGAUUUAGGUUUACAGUUUUAAGCAAUGUAUUCGUUUUUUCUUCAAUGGAAUUUAAGUUUUUGUUUUUUCUAAUUUCAUUUUAUACAAUAUUAUUUUUAUUUAUUGUUACUGAUUAUCGGAAGUGAUACAAUUAUUA
rnacentral:lncRNA from 1 species